rnacentral:rRNA from 1 species
GGUGCACUUCGCUAGGUUGAGGCCAGCAUCGGUUUCCGUAGGGGGAUAAAAGCUUUAGGAAUGUGGCUCUUCGGAGUGUUAUAGCCUAUUGUAUAAUACCUUUAUGGGGACCGAGGUACGCGCUCUGCAAGGAUGCUGGCGUAAUGGUCAUCAACGA